GGUCACCUUUGGCUAAUAUUGCCUUGACUGUAAAAUAUUUGAUAGAACCACAGUGGUUGGUACAACCGUGGUCAUAGAUCGUACCAUGAUUUGGAAAGCUAGAAAUAUGCUUGAAUAAAUUGUUGUUAUCUGUAUCUGAUCUGGUCAUUCCACAUGUGUAGUCGAAAAUCCGUAUCUACCCUUAGGGAUAAAAGUCAGAACGACUUCAC
rnacentral:lncRNA from 1 species